GACGAACGCUGGCGGCGUGCUUAACGCAUGCAAGUCGAACGGAAAGGCCCUGCUUUUGUGGGGUGCUCGAGUGGCGAACGGGUGAGUAACACGUGAGUAACCUGCCCUUGACUUUGGGAUAACUUCAGGAAACUGGGGCUAAUACCGGAUAGGAGCUCCUGCUGCAUGGUGGGGGUUGGAAAGUUUCGGCGGUUGGGGAUGGACUCGCGGCUUAUCAGCUUGUUGGUGGGGUAGUGGCUUACCAAGGCUUUGACGGGUAGCCGGCCUGAGAGGGUGACCGGCCACAUUGGGACUGAGAUACGGCCCAGACUCCUACGGGAGGCAGCAGUGGGGAAUAUUGCACAAUGGGCGGAAGCCUGAUGCAGCAACGCCGCGUGCGGGAUGACGGCCUUCGGGUUGUAAACCGCUUUCGCCUGUGACGAAGCGUGAGUGACGGUAAUGGGGAAAGAAGCACCGGCUAACUACGU
rnacentral:rRNA from 1 species